UUGGCAAGUACUGGCUGGGAUGAGCUUGCGUACGUUUGGCAGCACGGGACCGACCCCAGAGCGCCUUGAAAGGUUUAGGCAAUCAGUUGGAUAUUUUCCUAGCAUGGGAUGGGAGUGCACUAUACGGUCACUGUGAAACCUUCCCAGCAAACUGGGUAGUCAAUAAACUUAUUAGCCGGAGUCCGGAAAGCUGGUAGAGCAAAAAAUGUGCGUUUGAUCUCGACACCAGAAAGAAGCCAAGUUUCCAUUUUCUGUUUGGUGAGUGAUACAUACCUUUCCCAAAUUUGUAAUUUGAAAUAGGAUUAAUGCAUAUAAAAUGGAGAUCAGAAGUGUAGACUUUUGGUCAGUAGAAACUCAAAUGAAAUGGGCAGUCGAACGUUUAAGAGAGUCAAAAAUUCUUUUAAUAUGCUGUAAUUAGCUUCGGUGCUUUGUUUGGGCCAAUGUUAAGCUGCUCGCAUAGGCGCACUAGAUUUUAUUGCUGCUGUUGAGCUUUGGUUCCUUCUACGAUUAUAUGAUUAGGAUCCAAAUACAGGGAAGGCAAAUGAGAAUUCAAGAAAUCUGAUUUAUUACCCCAAUGAAAAUUCAUAUAAAACAAUGUGAAUUAAGAAUACAAAUAGAGGUUACUCUUUUGAUGCAGAACUAGGAUGAUGAAAAUUUAUUGUGUGAA